CGAGAAAUUCCGAUUCGUCGGGAGAGUAAAGUGGCGGACGGGUGAGUAACACUAGGGUAAUCUCCCCUUGAAUAAGGGAUAACAGUGCGAAAGCGCUGCUAAUACCUUAUAAGACUACGGUCUCUUAGGAGACAGUAGGAAAAGAUGGCCUCUGUUUCAAGCUAUCGUUUAAGGAUGAGCCCUAGCACUAUUAGCUUGUUGGUGAGGUAAUGGCUCACCAAGGCGACGAUCAGUAUCUGGUUUGAGAGGAUGAUCAGACACACUGGAACUGAGACACGGUCCAGACUCCUACGGGAGGCAGCAGUUGGGGAUCUUGCACAAUGGGCGAAAGCCUGAUGCAGCGACGCCGCGUGGAGGAUGACGGCCUUCGGGUUGUAAACUCCUUUCAGUGGGGAAGAAUGCCUUUUCUGUGUAAAGCGGAGGAGGAGUGACGGUACCCACAGAAGAAGCUCCGGCUAACUACGUGCCAGCAGCCGCGGUAAUACGUAGGGAGCAAGCGUUGUCCGGAAUCACUGGGCGUAAAGCGUCCGUAGGCGGCGAGGUAAGUCGUACGUGAAAGCCCCGGGCUCAACUCGGGUGAGUGCGUGCGAUACUGCCCCGCUUGAGUGCCGGAGGGGAGAGCGGAACGGUGCAAGUAGCGGUGAAAUGCGUAGAUAUGCAUCGGAACGCCGGUGGCGAAAGCGACUCUCUGGCUUCUAACUGACACUGAGGUGCGAAAGCUAGGGGAGCAAACAGGAUUAGAUACCCUGGUAGUCCUAGCUGUAAACGAUGAGCACUAUGUAGAGGAGGUUCCCAUACUUU
rnacentral:rRNA from 1 species